rnacentral:lncRNA from 1 species
UUGGUGGGGAACUUUUUCUAGUUCCAGUAUCUUUGUUGUUUCAGCUCUUUUCAGAGAGUUGGGUUCGGUGGUGCGUCUGGCGCCAGAUCUGAGAUCGGGGAUCUCUUGACGGUGCGGUGCAGCCGCUUGGUGCGGGGCAGGCGCUUUCGCUGACGACAUUACUGUACUUUCUUCAAUUCUAGUUUUGAGUCUGUUCUUCUUUGUGCAAGAUUUGAGUUGUGUUUGGGUUCUUCGUCAAGAGACCAGGAGUUCUCCUUUUCCCAUCUCCAAUUCGUCUCCACCUUGCUUUCGUCGUCGUUUUGGCUUCCAUGGUGUAGUCCUGCUGCCUUGAUACUGUCUGGAUUAUGGGUUUGGACUUUAAGGCCAUUAUGCAGCAA